GAUCAUGGCUCAGGAUGAACGCUAGCUACAGGCUUAACACAUGCAAGUCGAGGGGCAGCAUGACGAUAGCUUGCUAUUGUUGAUGGCGACCGGCGCACGGGUGAGUAACGCGUAUCCAACCUGCCCUUGUCCAUCGGAUAACCCGUCGAAAGGCGGCCUAACACGAUAUGCAGUUCUCAGCAGGCAUCUAACGAGAACGAAAUGUAAAGGAGAAGGAUGGGGACGCGU
rnacentral:rRNA from 1 species